rnacentral:rRNA from 1 species
CACGUAGGGCGCAAGCGUUGUCCGGAAUUAUUGGGCGUAAAGAGCUCGUAGGUGGUUUGUUACGUCUGCUGUGAAAACCUAGGGCUUAACCCUGGGCUUGCAGUGGAUACGGGCAGACUAGAGGUAGGUAGGGGAGAAUGGAAUUCCUGGUGUAGCGGUGAAAUGCGCAGAUAUCAGGAGGAACACCGGUGGCGAAGGCGGUUCUCUGGGCCUUACCUGACGCUGAGGAGCGAAAGCGUGGGGAGUGAACAGG